rnacentral:misc_RNA from 1 species
CCGAGUUUACAACUCCCAAACCCCUGUGAACAUACCACUUGUUGCCUCGGCGGAUCAGCCCGCUCCCGGUAAAAACGGGACGGCCCGCCAGAGGACCCCCUAAACUCUGUUUCUAUAUGUAACUUCUGAGUAAAAACCAUAAAUAAAUCA